rnacentral:rRNA from 1 species
AUGCGUAGUGGACGUUUGGAGAAGAAGAACAGGAGCUACAACAUUCCUACUGCCAAGCGCGCUGAAUAUAGGUUGGCGGAGGCUUAUGGGGAACUCCCGAAGGGGAUGUCAUCUAAGAAAGGCUCCGAGGAGGAUGUGCAAGAGAAGAUGAACUCUUAUCUUCGGAUGUACAAGAAACCGCCUACGCCGACUGCGAUCCAGGCAAUUCGUGCAUUGGUGGAGGCCAAUGGUUGA